GAUGAAGAACGCAGCGAACUGCGAUAAGUAAUGUGAAUUGCAGAAUUCAGUGAAUCAUCGAAUCUUUGAACGCACAUUGCGCCCCCUGGUAUUCCGGGGGGCAUGCCUGUCCGAGCGUCAUUACAACCCUCAAGCUCAGCUUGGUAUUGGGCCCCGCCGACCCGGCGGGCCCUAAAGUCAGUGGCGGUGCCGUCCGGCUCCGAGCGUAGUAAUUCUUCUCGCUCUGGAGGUCCGGUCGUGUGCUCGCCAGCAACCCCCAAUUUUUUUCAGGUUGACCUCGGAUCAGGUAGGGAUACCCGCUGAACUUAAGCAUAUCAAUAAGCGGAGGA
rnacentral:misc_RNA from 1 species